rnacentral:rRNA from 1 species
CAAGAGUGAACUAGCUAACUGAAAUCACAUGAGUCAUUAAUUGAUGGUGAUUGUGAUAACAUAAGGGAAAAAAAUGAUGUUACCUUAUUAUUAGUGUUGUCCAAAACUGGUGCCAGAAGACUCGGUAAGACCAGAGACGCAAACGUUAGUCAUCUUAAUCAGGCGUAAAGGGUGUGUAGGCUGCUUUUAAAGUUUAAAUCUUUGUAAUAGCUCUGUUACCGUACUAUUACAUACAAAUUGAAUUAAAAAAGACUAAAUUAUAAAUUAAAAAAAAAUAAAACAGUCAUAUCAAUAAAAUGUAAUAUAUAAAAUUUAUCCACAAAAUAAAUGAUAUAAAUAAAUAAAAUAAAUAAAAUAAAAUAAAUAAAAAAUAUCCGUGUAUCAGUAAAGAAAUAAAUGAAUAAAAGCUAGGAUCAAAUUGAGGAUAAACCAAAUAAUACUUAGAGUAGGGCUUAUAUCCGUAGAUACUAAGGGGAAUACUAAAGGUGAAAGCUUUUUAUCUACUAUUGAUUGACGCUGAGAAACGAAGGUGAGAAUAGGAAAUAGGAUUAGAUACCCAGAUACCUCUCACUGUCAACGAUGAAUGGUGGUUUGUUAGUUUUAAUAAAAACUGGUAACGAUGUUAACACGAUAACCAUUCCGCCUUGCGAGUACGGUUGCAAA